rnacentral:sRNA from 1 species
ACAUGACCGAUCCAAAGAGCCGGUAAAAGGGGUGACAAGCCGGCCGCGCAGGAUAUGUGGAGACGCCCCCAAAUGUCAGCCGGGCCUGCCUUAUUGU